GACGAACGCUGGCGGCGUGCUUAACACAUGCAAGUCGAACGAAGUGGCGAACGGGUGAGUAACGCGUAAACAACCUGCCCUUCAGCGGGUGACAACAGUUGGAAACGACUGCUAAUACCGCAUACUGAAGGAGGGGAUUGCGUCUGAUUAGCUGGUGGGAGGGGUAACGGCCCACCAAGGCGAUGAUCAGUAGCCGGUCUGGGAGGGUGAACGGCCACAAUGGGAAUGGGAACCGGCCCAGACUCCUUCGGGAGGCAGCAGUGGGGAAUCUUCCGCCAUGGACGGAAAUCUGACGGGGCAACGCCGCGUGAGUGAUGACGGCCUUCGGGUUGUAAAGCUCUGUUAAUCGGGACGCGGUACCGGAAUAGAAAGCCACGGCUAACUACGUGCCAGCAGCCGCGGUAAUAC
rnacentral:rRNA from 1 species